GUCUCUUCGGAGACAUCCUCCUAAAUUGGAACAAUAUUAGCAUGACCCCUCUCGAAGGAUGACGUGCAUAAAUUGAGGACUCGUUCAAAGUUCAAAUUUUUU
rfam:Setaria italica strain Yugu1 chromosome VIII, whole genome shotgun sequence.